AUGAGCAGUUUAGAGCAGUUACAGGACAUGAGCAUCUCCGACGCCGCCGUCGUCAAGAAAUUCCUCUGCGCGGACAAAAAGCUCCCGGCGAGCCGCGAGUUAUUUGAGUCCUUGUUUCGUAGAAAUUCGUAGGUUUAAUCUGAACUGAUGUCGUAGCGCAGAUGUCGUGUCCUUAUUUCAUUUUCUUUUGCAUAAAUUCGUUCCCUACAGUGGACAAUGGUGGAGUCGAUGAUUUGUUUCCACUCGGUUCAUGUGUAGAUGAAUCUGCACAAAAUACGGUGUUUGUACAAAUCUUAUGUUCAUAUUGUUUAUCCGAGUUAUUUGAGUUCA